GAUGAACGCUAGCUACAGGCUUAACACAUGCAAGUCGAGGGGAAACGACAUCGAAAGCUUGCUUUUGAUGGGCGUCGACCGGCGCACGGGUGAGUAACGCGUAUCCAACCUGCCCAUCACUUGGGAAUAACCUUGCGAAAGUAAGACUAAUACCCAAUGAUAUCCCACGAAGGCAUCGGAAUGGGAUUAAAGAUUUAUCGGUGAUGGAUGGGGAUGCGUCUGAUUAGCUUGUUGGCGGGGUAACGGCCCACCAAGGCAACGAUCAGUAGGGGUUCUGAGAGGAAGGUCCCCCACAUUGGAACUGAGACACGGUCCAAACUCCUACGGGAGGCAGCAGUGAGGAAUAUUGGUCAAUGGGAGAGAGCCUGAACCAGCCAAGUAGCGUGCAGGAAGACGGCCCUAUGGGUUGUAAACUGCUUUUAUAAGGGAAUAAAGUGGGUCACGUGUGACUUUUUGCAUGUACCUUAUGAAUAAGGACCGGCUAAUUCCGUG
rnacentral:rRNA from 1 species